rnacentral:rRNA from 1 species
UCCUAGCCGUAAACGAUGGAUACUAGGCGUAGCUCGUAUCGACCCGAGCUGUGCCGUAGCUAACGCGUUAAGUAUCCCGCCUGGGGAGUACGCAGGCAACUGUGAAACUCAAAGGAAUUGACGGGGGCCCGCACAAGCGGUGGAGUAUGUGGUUUAAUUCGAUGCAACGCGAAGAACCUUACCAAGACUUGACAUGUCACGAAUUCCGUUGAAAGAUGGA